GACGUAGGGCGCGAGCGUUGUCCGGAUUUAUUGGGCGUAAAGAGCUCGUAGGCGGCUUGUCGCGUCGUCCGUGAAAACUUGGGGCUCAACCCCAAGCUUGCGGUCGAUACGGGCAGGCUCGAGUUCGGUAGGGGAGACUGGAAUUCCUGGUGUAGCGGUGAAAUGCGCAGAUAUCAGGAGGAACACCGGUGGCGGAGGCGGAUCUCUGGGCCAUUACUGACGCUGAGGAGCGAAAGCGUGGGGAGCGAACAGG
rnacentral:rRNA from 1 species